rnacentral:rRNA from 1 species
UCUUGAGUACGGUCGAGGUAGGCGGAAUGUGUAAUGUAGCGGUGAAAUGCAUAGAUAUUACCCAGAACACCGAUUGCGUAGGCAGCUUACCAGCUUGGAACUGACGCUGAUGCACGAANGCGUGGGGAGCGAACAGGAUUAGAUACCCUGGUAGUCCACGCCGUAAACGAUGAUCACUCGCUGUUGGCAAUAUAGAGUCAGCGGCUGAGCGAAAGCAUUAAGUGAUCCACAUGGGGAGUACGUCGGCAACGAUGAAACUCAAAGGAAUUGACGGGGGCCCGCACAAGCGGUGGAACAUGUGGUNUAGUUCGAUGAUACGCGAGGAACCUUACCUGGGCUUAAAUGUAGCCGGACGAUUCCGGAAACGGGAUUUCCUAACAGGCUGGUUACAAGGUGCUGCAUGGCUGUCGUCAGCUCGUGCCGUGAGGUGUCGGGUAAGUCCCAUNNACGAGCGCAACCCUAUUUCUUAGUGCCAGCGCGGUAGAGCCGGGGACUCUAGGGAGACUGCCACCGUAAGGUGUGAGGAAGGUGGGGAUGACGUCAAGUCAGCACGGCCANUACGUCCAGGGCUACACACGUGUACAUNNNGNCCGUACAGAAGGCAGCAACUUUGAGAGAGGGCGCGAAUCCAUGAAAGNCCGUCUCAGUUCGGAUCGGAGUCUGCAACCCGACUUCAUGAAGU